CACUCUAGAGGGACUGCAAGGGAUAACCUGGAGGAAGGUGGGGAUGACGUCAAAGCAUAAUGCCCCUUAGGCUUAGGGCUACACACGUGCUACAAUGGGUAGUACAGAGGGUUGCCAAGCCGUAAGGUGGAGCUAAUCCCUUAAAGCUACUCUUAGUUCGGAUUGUAGGCUGAAACUCGCCUACAUGAAGCUGGAGUUACUAGUAAUCGCAGAUCAGAAUGCUGCGGUGAAUGCGUUCCCGGGUCUUGUACACACCGCCCGUCACACCACGGGAGUUGGAG
rnacentral:rRNA from 1 species